UAGGAUAUAGUGUAAAAGGAAACAUAUUUGUUUUGGAUACAAAAGUUAUAGGUUCAAAUCCUAAUAUCCUAA
rnacentral:tRNA from 1 species